rnacentral:tRNA from 1 species
GCUGGUGUGGCUCAACGGUAGACCAGCUGACUUGAAAUCAGCAGGUUGUAGGUUCGCUUCCUAUCACCAGCUCCA